rnacentral:rRNA from 1 species
CUCUGCAAACACGAAAGUGGACGUAUAGGGUGUGACGCCUGCCCGGUGCUGGAAGAUUAAAUGAUGGGGUGCAAGCUCUUGACUGAAGUCCCCAGUAAACGGCGGCCGUAACAAUAACGGUCCUAAGGUAGCGAAAUUUCCUUGUCGGGUAAGUUCCGACCCGCACGAAUGGCGUAACGAUGGCCACACUGUCUCCUCCUGAGACUCAGCGAAGUUGAAAUGUUUGUGAAGAUGCAAUCUCCCCGCUGCUAGACGGAAAGACCCCGUGAACCUUUACUGUAGCUUUGCAUUGGACUUUUGAACAGACUUGUGUAGGAUAGGUGGGGAGGCUUUUGAAGUGGGAACGCCAGUUCUCAUGGAGCCGUCCUUGAAAUACCACCCUGGUGUGUUUUGAGGUUCUAACCUAGGUCCGUAAUCCGGAUCGGGGACCGUGCAUGGUAGGCAGUUUGACUGGGGCGGGUCUCCUCCCAAAGUGUAACGGAGGAGCUCGAAGGUCUCCUAGGUACGGUCGGACAUCGUACUGAUAGUGUAAUGGCAUAAGGAGGCUU